rnacentral:rRNA from 1 species
GACGAACGCUGGCGGCGUGCCUAAUACAUGCAAGUAGAACGCUGAAGGAGGAGCUUGCUUCUCUGGAUGAGUUGCGAACGGGUGAGUAACGCGUAGGUAACCUGCCUGGUAGCGGGGGAUAACUAUUGGAAACGAUAGCUAAUACCGCAUAACAGUAGAUAUCGCAUGAUAUCUACUUGAAAGUUGCAAUUGCAUCACUACCAGAUGGACCUGCGUUGUAUUAGCUAGUUGGUGAGGUAACGGCUCACCAAGGCGACGAUACAUAGCCGACCUGAGAGGGUGAUCGGCCACACUGGGACGGAGACACGGCCCAGACUCCUACGGGAGGCAGCAGUAGGGAAUCUUCGGCAAGGGACGGGAGUCUGACCGAGCAACGCCGCGGGAGUGAAGAAGGUUGUCGGAUCGUAAAGCUCGGUUGUAAGAGAAGAACGAGUGUGAGAGUGGAAAGUUCACACUGUGACGGUAUCUUACCAGAAAGGGACGGCUAACUACGUG